rnacentral:misc_RNA from 1 species
GAUGAAGAACGCAGCGAAAUGCGAUACGUAAUGUGAAUUGCAGAAUUCAGUGAAUCAUCGAAUCUUUGAACGCAUAUUGCGCUCUCUGGUAUUCCGGAGAGCAUGCUUGUUUGAGUAUCAGUAAACACCUCAACUUCCAUAUCUUUUUUGAAAUGGGAGUUGGACUUGAGUGAUCCCAACGCUUUUCCUCACCGAAAAGUGGCGGGUUACUUGAAAUGCAGGUGCAGCUGGACUUUUCUCUGAGCUAUAAGCAUAUCUAUUUAGUCUGCCUAAAAAACAGAUUAUUACCUUUGCUGCAGCUAACAUAAAGGAGAUUAGUUCUUGUGCUGACUGAUGCAGGAUUCACAAAGACAGGCUUCGGCCGACUUUGUAAACUCGAUCUCAAAUCAAGUAAGACUACCCGCUGAACUUAAGCAUAUCAAUAAGCGGAGG